CCCUUAAUGAAACAGAGAAGAUUAACAUGGCUCCUGUGCAAGGAUGACAGGCAAAUUAAUGAUGUGCUCCAUAGUUUU
rnacentral:snRNA from 1 species